rnacentral:rRNA from 1 species
UACGUGAGGUGGCAAGCGUUGUCCGGAUUUACUGGGCGUAAAGAGCGCGCAGGCGGUCGUUCAAGUCGCGUGUGAAAGCCCCCGGCUCAACUGGGGAGGGUCACGCGAUACUGAUCGACUCGAAGGCAGGAGAGGGUAGUGGAAUUCCCGGUGUAGUGGUGAAAUGCGUAGAUAUCGGGAGGAACACCAGUGGCGAAGGC